CUUUGAACUAGCUGUCAGAUAACUGCGAGUACUCUCAGAUCUGUUCAUUGCGUCUUUUUGUGUCGGGAUGUAUAAGUACCCGGCCACGUCUACUUGUAUGUUUGCCCAUCUUAUGGGUUAAGCCUUUUUCAACUGAUUUUUAUAGUUCGUUCUUAUGUUGUACUGUUAUACAACUGUCCCAGGUUAGGGGGAGGGUUGGGAUCCCGCUAACAUGUUUAACCCCGCCACUUUAUUUAUGUAUGUGCCUGUCUCAAGUCAGGAGCCUGUAAUUCAGUGGUUGUCGUUUGUUUAUGUGUUACAUAUUUGUUUUUCGUUCAUUUUUUUUACAUAAAUAAGGCCGUUAGUUUUCUCGUUUGAAUUGAUUUACAUUGUCUUGUCGGGGCCUAUUAUAGCUGACUAUGCGGUAUGGGCUUUGCUCAUUGUUGAAGGCCGUACGGUGACCAUUAGUUGUUAAUGUCUUGUGUCAUUUUGGUCUUUUGUGGAUAGUUGUCUCAUUGACAAUCAUACCACAUCUUCUUUUUUAUAGUAG
rnacentral:lncRNA from 1 species